rnacentral:misc_RNA from 1 species
GAUGAAGAACGCAGCGAAAUGCGAUAAGUAGUGUGAAUUGCAGAAUUCGGUGAAUCAUCGAAUCUUUGAACGCACAUUGCGCCCCUUGGUAUUCCAUGGGGCAUGCCUGUUCGAGCGUCAUUUGUACCUUCAAGCUCUGCUUGGUGUUGGGUGUUUGUCUCGCCUCUGCGUGUAGACUCGCCUCAAAACAAUUGGCAGCCGGCGUAUUGAUUUCGGAGCGCAGUACAUCUCGCGCUUUGCACUCAUAACGACGACGUCCAAAAGUACAUUUUUACACUCUUGACCUCGGAUCAGGUAGGGAUACCCGCUGAACUUAAGCAUAUCAAUAAGCGGAGGA